AGUCUGUAGAAGAGGCGACACCAGGGCUUCCAAAUGAACAACCGAAAGGAAGAUAUGGAAAUCACGUCCCACUACCGGCACCUGCUGCGGGAGCUCAACGAGCAGAGGCAGCACGGCGUCCUGUGCGACGUCUGCGUGGUCGUGGAGGGCAAGGUCUUCAAGGCGCACAAGAACGUCCUGCUGGGCAGCAGCCGCUACUUCAAGACGCUCUACUGCCAGGUGCAGAAGACGUCGGAGCAGGCCACGGUCACGCACCUGGACAUCGUCACGGCCCAGGGCUUCAAGGCCAUCAUCGACUUCAUGUACUCAGCGCACCUGGCGCUCACCAGCAGGAACGUCAUCGAGGUGAUGUCAGCCGCCAGCUUCCUGCAGAUGACGGACAUCGUGCAAGCCUGCCACGACUUCAUCAAGGCGGCGCUGGACAUCAGCAUCAAGUCGGACGCCUCAGAUGAGCUUGCGGAGUUCGAGAUCGGCGCCUCGUCCAGCAGCAGCACGGAAGCUCUCAUCUCGGCCGUGAUGGCUGGGAGGAGCAUCUCCCCGUGGCUGGCACGGCGAACGAGUCCUGCCAAUUCUUCCGGAGACUCGGCCAUCGCCAGCUGUCACGACGGAGGGAGCAGCUACGGGAAAGAGGAUCAGGAGCCCAAGGCCGAUGGCCCUGAUGAUGUUUCUUCACAGCCUCUAUGGCCUGGAGACGUGGGCUACGGGCCUCUGCGCAUCAAGGAAGAGCAGGUUUCACCGUCUCAGUACGGAGGGAGCGAGCUGCCUUCUGCCAAGGACGGUGCAGUACAGAACUCUUUCUCAGAGCAGAGUGCUGGUGAUGCCUGGCAGCCCACGGGCCGAAGGAAGAAUCGGAAAAACAAAGAGACCGUCCGGCACAUCACACAGCAGGUGGAAGAUGACAGCCGGGCCAGCUCCCCGGUGCCGUCCUUCCUGCCGACGUCGGGGUGGCCGUUCAGCAGCCGAGACUCAAAUGCGGACCUGUCCGUCACCGAAGCCAGCAGCUCCGACAGCCGAGGAGAGAGGGCCGAGCUCUAUGCACAGGUGGAGGAGGGUCUCCUGGGAGGAGAAGCCAGCUAUCUGGGCCCUCCCCUCACCCCAGAGAAGGACGACGCCCUGCAUCAGGCCACCGCGGUGGCCAACCUGCGCGCGGCGCUCAUGAGUAAGAACAGCCUGCUGUCGCUGAAGGCCGACGUGCUGGGGGAUGACGGCUCCCUGCUGUUCGAGUACCUGCCCAGAGGGGCCCACUCGCUGUCCC
rnacentral:circRNA from 1 species